GCGUGCUUAACACAUGCAAGUCGAACGAUGAAGCCGCUUCGGUGGUGGAUUAGUGGCGAACGGGUGAGUAACACGUGGGCAAUCUGCCCUUCACUCUGGGACAAGCCCUGGAAACGGGGUCUAAUACCGGAUAACACUCUGUCCCGCAUGGGACGGGGUUAAAAGCUCCGGCGGUGAAGGAUGAGCCCGCGGCCUAUCAGCUUGUUGGUGGGGUAAUGGCCUACCAAGGCGACGACGGGUAGCCGGCCUGAGAGGGCGACCGGCCACACUGGGACUGAGACACGGCCCAGACUCCUACGGGAGGCAGCAGUGGGGAAUAUUGCACAAUGGGCGAAAGCCUGAUGCAGCGACGCCGCGUGAGGGAUGACGGCCUUCGGGUUGUAAACCUCUUUCAGCAGGGAAGAAGCGAAAGUGACGGUACCUGCAGAAGAAGCGCCGGCUAACUACGUGCCAGCAGCCGCGGUAAUACGUAGGGCGCAAGCGUUGUCCGGAAUUAUUGGGCGUAAAGAGCUCGUAGGCGGCUUGUCACGUCGGAUGUGAAAGCCCGGGGCUUAACCCCGGGUCUGCAUUCGAUACGGGCUAGCUAGAGUGUGGUAGGGGAGAUCGGAAUUCCUGGUGUAGCGGUGAAAUGCGCAGAUAUCAGGAGGAACACCGGUGGCGAAGGCGGAUCUCUGGGCCAUUACUGACGCUGAGGAGCGAAAGCGUGGGGAGCGAACAGGAUUAGAUACCCUGGUA
rnacentral:rRNA from 1 species